AAACUUUACAUCACUUUGAUACUCUCUUUUAAAAAAAGGAUAGACAUGGUAUUAAGAUGUAGCCAACUCUUACUCUAGGACAAGUAGUAAGAUCUGAAAAUGAAGAGGUUAUAGUUCAUAUUACAAUGACACAUAAAUGUAUAUAUCCACACACACAUACAUGUGUAUAGUUUUAUGCUUAUGUGAAUUUCAAAACUGCAAGGUACACAAAUAGGAAUUUACUUCUUUUAAUUCCAUGUAUACUGUUGUGAGUAGAACAGUAGUGCUGAGUUGAAAAUGUCAGAAGUCCUUGGCAUUCAAUGAAAUGACAGAAUUUUGUGAAAGCACCAAUUGGAAUUUCAAAGCUUUGUAAAAAUAUGUGAAACAAAAGCAUUAGUUGAUAGUGGAGGUGUUUGCAUCG